rnacentral:lncRNA from 1 species
CACCCUUUCUAAGUAAACAUUUGAAACAUCUCUAUUGAAUUAAUGAAUUUACAAAAUAGAGUCAAAGAAAUCUGAGCCUAACUUUAAAAAUAAUGCUUAAUAUAUUCUAUGGAGGUGAAAAAUACAGGAAAUAUAGUAGGGAAAAAAUAAAAAUGACAAAGACAUUAACCAGGAUGAGGGAUUAAAACAGUAAAUAAAUAUGUAUGGUGUUGACCUUGAUAGUUCUGUUUCUCCAGAGAUUCUAGAUCUGGAAAAAAAUAAUAUCUCUUCCUUCGCAACAUGAAGAGGAUUUUCACUGACCACAUUGGGCAAUUUGAGAAGUAAUAAUGUUUAUUAUUGGAAGAUACUAAGGAAGCAGGUUUUUUUUCUAAUUUAGUUUUCUAUUAUUUAUUCAUUUGUUUCCUAGUUUUCAUUUUUCUUUUCUUUUCUUUUUUUGCCAUAAUAAACCAUAAACAAAAGCAUUUUGGAAAUGGAAGGAAAGAAAUUAUUUAGGUGUAUAUGUCUGUUUCAUAGCCCAUCAUCAAAAGAACCAAGGCAGGGACUGAACCAUAGACCAUAGAGGAGUGUGCUCACUGGCUUGCUUCCUCUAUCUCUUUUCAGUUGCUUUUUCCAUAUAGUCCAGGCAUAUCUGCCCAGGAUAGCACAGUGCAUAUUGUUCUGUCCUCCAUCAAAUACCAAUUAAUAAAAAUGUCUACACACUCACACAGACCAAUCUGAUGGAACUAACUCCUCAGCUGAGGUUCUGUCUUUCCAUGUCUCUAGUUUGUGUCAAAUUGACAAAAACUAACCAGCACAGUUGAUACUUUUAAAACUGGCAAAUAAGAGCAAUAAGAGUAAAUCAAUACAAUAUUAUACUCAGGCUGUGUUGUAUAAUCCAGUCACUGAGUGAAUAGGUCACAGAAGAAUAAUUCUUAAUGAAAGGUUCUAGCUAACUAAUGAAGACAGAGUGUAUUGUGAGUAUUGUUAUUUUGUAACUUCUACAAGGUAACUAAGAGAGAAAUUCAACAUAAAUAAACUUGCAGCCUGACACCAUGAUGAACACACAUCACUAACAUCUGUGACACAUCGAUGGACACUUGUCACCGUCAUCUGUGACACCUGAUGGACACAUAUCACCAUCAUUUGUGACAUCCUGAUGGACACAGAGGACCUCCCUUUUUGACAUCCUGAUGGACACACAUCACCAUUGUAUGUGACACCCUGAUGGAUUCACAUCACCAUUGUACGUGACACUGUGAGAAAACACACAUCACCAUCAGCUGUGACCUCCUGAUGGACAGACAUCACCAUGUGUGAGAUAUUUCAGCUAAUGAUGGAUCAUACCAUCUAUACUAUUAUCUAAAUUCUUUUUUAUUUCUUUUUUUU